rnacentral:lncRNA from 1 species
GGAAGGAGAUAUAAGAAAAUAGGUGAACAUUUAUAUCUAAUGUUAGAAAAAGAAGAAUUAAAAUUAGAAGAUAAAUUAACAGCAAUGGUAAGAAUAGAAAAAGAAAAUGAAGAGAUAGAUAGGAAAAAAGAAAUAGAAAAAAUAAAACAACAAACUACGGAAGAAAUACGAAAAAUAGAAGAAACCAAAAAUAGUAGAAUUGCUGAAUUAGAAAAAGAAUUACAAAU